CAGCCGCCCGGGAAUACAGAGGGUGCGAGCGUUAAUCGGAUUUACUGGGCGUAAAGCGUGCGUAGGCGGCUUCUUAAGUCGGAUGUGAAAUCCCUGAGCUUAACUUAGGAAUUGCAUUCGAUACUGGGAAGCUAGAGUAUGGGAGAGGAUGGUAGAAUUCCAGGUGUAGCGGUGAAAUGCGUAGAGAUCUGGAGGAAUACCGAUGGCGAAGGCAGCCAUCUGGCCUAAUACUGACGCUGAGGUACGAAAGCAUGGGGAGCAAACAGGAUUAGAUACCCCGGUAGUCCCUGUCUCUUAUACC
rnacentral:rRNA from 1 species